rnacentral:rRNA from 1 species
UACACAUGCAGUCGAGGGGUAACAGGAGUAGCUUGCUAUUUGCUGACGACCGGCGCACGGGUGCGUAACGCGUAUAGAAUCUACCUUAUACUGGGGGAUAGCCUUUGGAAACGAAGAUUAAUACCCCAUAGUAUUAUUUUUUGGCAUCAUUAAAUAAUUAAAGUUUCGGCGGUAUAAGAUGACUAUGCGUUCUAUUAGUUAGUUGGUAAGGUAACGGCUUACCAAGACUUCGAUAGAUAGGGGUCCUGAGAGGGAGAUCCCCCACACUGGUACUGAGACACGGACCAGACUCCUACGGGAGGCAGCAGUGAGGAAUAUUGGACAAUGGAGGCAACUCUGAUCCAGCCAUGCCGCGUGUAGGAAGACUGCCCUAUGGGUUGUAAACUACUUUUAUAUGGGAAGAAUAAGAUCUACGUGUAGAUUGAUGACGGUACCAUAAGAAUAAGCACCGGCUAACUCCGUGCCAGCAGCCGCGGUAAUACGGAGGGUGCAAGCGUUAUCCGGAAUCAUUGGGUUUAAAGGGUCCGUAGGCGGGCAUAUAAGUCAGUGGUGAAAGUCUGUGGCUUAACCAUAGAAUUGCCAUUGAUACUGUAUGUCUUGAAUUAUUGUGAAGUGGUUAGAAUAUGUAGUGUAGCGGUGAAAUGCUUAGAGAUUACAUAGAAUACCGAUUGCGAAGGCAGAUCACUAACAAUAUAUUGACGCUGAUGGACGAAAGCGUAGGUAGCGAACAGGAUUAGAUACCCUGGUAGUCUACGCCGUAAACGAUGGAUACUAGUUGUUUGGUUUUCGGACUGAGUGACUAAGCGAAAGUGAUAA